CAGCCGCCACGGUAAUACGAAGGGGGCUAGCGUUGUUCGGAAUCACUGGGCGUAAAGCGCACGUAGGCGGAUCUUUAAGUCAGGGGUGAAAUCCCGAGGCUCAACCUCGGAACUGCCUUUGAUACUGGGAGUCUUGAGUUCGAGAGAGGUGAGUGGAAUUGCGAGUGUAGAGGUGAAAUUCGUAGAUAUUCGCAGGAACACCAGUGGCGAAGGCGGCUCACUGGCUCGAUACUGACGCUGAGGUGCGAAAGCGUGGGGAGCAAACAGGAUUAGAUACCCCCGUAGUCCCUGUCUCUUAUAC
rnacentral:rRNA from 1 species